rnacentral:lncRNA from 1 species
CAAAUGCUCAUUUCCCCUGCCUUCUGAGACUGCACCUUACCUUUGCAGCGUGGGAGCAGAGUCCCAGAGAAUCCCCUUUGUGUAGCACAUCCAUCUGAUUUUCUAGGCCGUCUUCAAUUCCUUGGAUAUCAGAUGUCUUAUAUACACACAGAAAAACACACAACGCAAAGUUAAGUUUAUUGAAUCACUAGAAAACAGAGAAUUACACGACACUGCCAGCACCAUGGAGGCUUUCUGCGCUGCCUGGAGAAGCUGUGUAGGUGUGAGACAGGAUCCUGGCUGGAUGUACUGCUGUCACUGUUGUGAAAUUCUUAAUAAUUUAUGAACAAGGGACCCUAUAUUUCAUUUUGCACUGGCCUAUAAAUUAUGUUUCUGGUCAUGCGCCUACCUAGUCAUGCCGCCUCCUCCAAAGUAACCUUUACCUAACUUUGAUGGGCUAACUCUUCUGUAUAGUUUUAUCACCACAGUAUGAUAUGUUAUGGUUUAUUUUACUUCUGAA